CGGAGGGAAACCGAGUCUUAAUUGGGCGUUAAGUUGCAGGGUAUAGACCCGAAACCCGGUGAUCUAGCCAUGGGCAGGUUGAAGGUUGGGUAACACUAACUGGAGGACCGAACCGACUAAUGUUGAAAAAUUAGCGGAUGACCUGUGGCUGGGGGUGAAAGGCCAAUCAAACCGGGAGAUAGCUGGUUCUCCCCGAAAGCUAUUUAGGUAGCGCCUCGUGAAUUCAUCUCCGGGGGUAGAGCACUGUUUCGGCUAGGGGGCCAUCCCGGCUUACCAACCCGAUGCAAACUGCGAAUACCGGAGAAUGUUAUCACGGGAGACACACGGCGGGUGCUAACGUCCGUCGUGAAGAGGGAAACAACCCAGACCGCCAGCUAAGGUCCCAAAGUCAUGGUUAAGUGGGAAACGAUGUGGGAAGGCCCAGACAGCCAGGAUGUUGGCUUAGAAGCAGCCAUCAUUUAAAGAAAGCGUAAUAGCUCACUGGUCGAGUCGGCCUGCGCGGAAGAUGUAACGGGGCUAAACCAUGCACCGAAGCUGCGGCAGCGACACUCAGGUGUUGUUGGGUAGGGGAGCGUUCUGUAAGCCUGCGAAGGUGGCCUGUGAGGGUUGCUGGAGGUAUCAGAAGUGCGAAUGCUGACAUAAGUAACGAUAAAGCGGGUGAAAAGCCCGCUCGCCGGAAGACCAAGGGUUCCUGUCCAACGUUAAUCGGGGCAGGGUGAGUCGACCCCUAAGGCGAGGCCGAAAGGCGUAGUCGAUGGGAAACGGGUUAAUAUUCCCGUACUUGGUGUUACUGCGAAGGGGGGACGGAGAAGGCUAUGUUGGCCGGGCGACGGUUGUCCCGGUUUAAGCGUGUAGGUGUGUGUUCCAGGUAAAUCCGGUU
rnacentral:rRNA from 1 species